UCUUCAGCAGCCAGACAUGAGGGUCCACUCUGGUCUCAUCCCAUAGGGCAUCUGAUCCAUACUGUGCACAGCAACAGUGGGCAGCACAGUGCUGAGCUGCACGGUGUCUCCUGGGCCGCCAUCACCUCCCAUAAUCGCCCGGAGCAUGGAGGAGUUACAUGUUUUAUACCGGAGUAAAUUAUAUCCCACCAUUGUAAAACAACCGCGGAGUCUUCACAUCAUAACUUCAAUGGUACAAAUCCACUUCUCAGCACACUUAUCAGACUUCUGCAAGAAGAAAGGUUUCCGGCGCUGAUCAAGGCAGACUUUUGCAGAUUUUCCCCUGUAAGCUGAGACAUAAAGGCCAUCUCUCUCUGGUCGCCUUCCGG
ensembl:lncRNA AABR07015007.1